AUGAACGCUGGCGGCGUGCCUCAUCCAUGCCAGUCGCGCGAACAGACGAGGAGCUUGCUCCUCUGACGUUAGCGGCGGACGGGUGAGUAACACGUGGAUAACCUACCUAUAAGACUGGGAUAACUUCGGGAAACCGGAGCUAAUACCGGAUAAUAUAUUGAACCGCAUGGUUCAAUAGUGAAAGACGGUUUUGCUGUCACUUAUAGAUGGAUCCGCGCCGCAUUAGCUAGUUGGUAAGGUAACGGCUUACCAAGGCAACGAUGCGUAGCCGACCUGAGAGGGUGAUCGGCCACACUGGAACUGAGACACGGUCCAGACUCCUACGGGAGGCAGCAGUAGGGAAUCUUCCGCAAUGGGCGAAAGCUUGACGGAGCAACGCCGCGUGAGUGAUGAAGGUCUUCGGAUCGUAAAACUCUGUUAUUAGGGAAGAACAAAUGUGUAAGUAACUAUGCACGUCUUGACGGUACCUAAUCAGAAAGCCACGGCUAACUACGUG
rnacentral:rRNA from 1 species